CUUUAUUCUAAAUACAAUAGAAAGGCUUUGGAGUAAACAGAUGAUAAUGUCUGUGUUUUUGAAUUUUUACUGGCUGCAAUAAAAAAAGUGGGUUGGAAGGUGAUUCAUGCAAAGCUAUUGAGUAGUCCAGAUGAGAGAUGAUAGUGGUUUGGCCUGCAACGGGGAAACUUGGAUGAAUAAAAUUUAGUACAUUCAAGAGGGACUCAGUAAAGUUUUAAUACUGUAUUAUAUAACUUGAGUGAGAAAGUAGUUGAAUAGUUCAUAGCUUUCUGGUUUCUGUAUCUGAUUAUAUAAUUCAACUGUACAAGAGAUGCUGACGUUGGAAUAAUGUCACAUUUGAUAUGUAAGCCUAUUGAUUAAGUUUGAGGAUAAUGACAUCAACAUAUCUUUGAAAUAUCUAAGUAUAGAUGAAAAAUGAGUGGAAUAGAGGAGAGGUUUUGUUUACCAUACACCAUAAAAUGAAUGAUAUUUAAAGCCAACAAUGUAUGACGUUGCUUACAGUGUGAGAAGAAGAGAGAGGCUAGGCCUGAGCUUUGAGGAAUUUUAACCAGAAAAAUAGCAGAGAGGAAAAAAAAACCAGUAUUGGUCAUUGAUUGCAAACUAUGAGUCUUUCUAAAAUAGUUUACAAUCUUGAAUGCUACUGAGAACUCCAAAAGCUAAGGAUUGAAAAAUGUUUAACUACAUUUAGAGAGGACUCUUUGUACAGAUUAACUGAGUCCACAGAGCUUGGUCUUCUACCCGAGAUGGAGAUGAGAUAACAAAGACAGUGCAGAUCAUGUUUCACAAAGGUUAACUAGAAACGGAGAGAGAAGUGUAGUAGUGAUUGAGCAGAAAGUGGGGCGAAGGGAUCCUUUAUGAGAAAGGAUAAACGUUGAGAAAGGUUAAACAUGUAAAGAAGCAUGAAUAAUCAAUGCUGUAGAGGUAAAGUUUCCAAAGACCUAAAAACUAUGGUCAAAUAAGUACAAAAUCUCCCAACAAAAAGAGAAGUAAAGAAUACCGAGGCGGUAUCUACCAUUGUGUUUACCUGAAAGAUCUACACUGAGCUAUCUCGAGGUUGCAGUGGUAGUGACGUGUGUGAGGUUGGCUGAGUUAUGGCUCAUGGAAUCUGUUUUGUGGAAUUCACUCUUCUCACAGGUAGGUCAAAAAGAAAAAAAAAAUGGUAUGGAUAAAGAGAACUUCUCCAAUUGCAUCUGAUUGCAGUUGUAUUCUCUAAUUCAGAUUUAAAAGAAAGUCUUCAGAUGUGUGAGGACAUUAAACCCUCAGUGACAAAGUUUACACCAUGAUCCUCAUUAAGUUCCCUGAAUUUUAUCUCUAAAGGCUAAUGUUUAAGGCCAGGUAGAGAGAGGAUUAAUUGGCAUUUCUGGCAACACAACAAUAUUAAAAGAGU
rnacentral:lncRNA from 1 species